rnacentral:rRNA from 1 species
AUUGAACGCUGGCGGCAGGCCUAACACAUGCAAGUCGAGCGAGCGGCGGACGGGUGAGUAAUGCCUGUGUAUUGCCCAGUCGAGGGGGAUACCAGUUGGAAACGACUGCUAAUCCCGCAUACGAUUGGAUUGCCCAGGUGGGAUUAGCUAGUUGGUGAGGUAAGGGCUCACCAAGGCGACGAUCCCUAGCUGGUCUGAGAGGAUGAUCAGCCACACUGGGACGGAGACACGGUCCAGACUCCUACGGGAGGCAGCAGUGGGGAAUAUUGCACAAUGGGGGAAACCCUGAUGCAGCCAUGCCGCGUGUGUGAAGAAGGCCUUCGGGUUGUAAAGUACUUUCAGCGAGGAGGCGUUACUCGCAGAAGAAGCACCGGCUAACUCCGUGCCAGCAGCCGCGGUAAUUC